rnacentral:misc_RNA from 1 species
CCUCCUCUGUUUUACUCACAA